rnacentral:tRNA from 1 species
GCGGCUGUGGUCCAGGGGUUAGGACAUGAGCUUCCCAAGCUUGUAGCCCGGGUUCGAUUCCCGGCAGCCGCACC